rnacentral:rRNA from 1 species
CUUGACAUCCAGAGAAUUUAGCAGAGAUGCUUUAGUGCCUUCGGGAACUCUGAGACAGGUGCUGCAUGGCUGUCGUCAGCUCGUGUUGUGAAAUGUUGGGUUAAGUCCGCAACGAGCGCAACCCUUAUCCUUUGUUGCCAGCACGUAAUGGUGGGAACUCAAAGGAGACUGCCGGUGAUAAACCGGAGGAAGGUGGGGAUGACGUCAAGUCAUCAUGGCCCUUACGAGUAGGGCUACACACGUGCUACAAUGGCGCAUACAAAGAGAAGCGACCUCGCGAGAGCAAGCGGACCUCAUAAAGUGCGUCGUAGCCCGGAUUGGAGUCUGCAACUCGACUCCAUGAAGUCGGAAUCGCUAGUAAUCGUAAAUCAGAAUGUUACGGUGAAUACGUUCCCGGGCCUUGUACACACCGCCCGUCACACCAUGGGAGUGGGUUGCAAAAGAAGUAGGUAGCUUAACCUUCGGGAGGGCGUUUACCACUUUGUGAUUCAUGACUGGGGUGAAGUCGUAACAAGGUAGGCGUAGUGCU